rnacentral:rRNA from 1 species
AACAAACGCUGGCGGCGUGCCUAAUACAUGCAAGUCGAACGGGGAAAGCUUUCGGGUGAGUACUAGUGGCGCACGGGUGAGGAACGCGUGGAUAAUCUGCCUUAGAGUGGGGGAUAACUAGUCGAAGGAUUAGCUAAUACCGCAUAAGACCACAGGAGCUGCGGCUCUAGGGGUCAAAGGUUUUUCGCUCUAAGAUGAGUCCGCGUAAGAUUAGCUAGUUGGUGAGGUAACGGCUCACCAAGGCGACGAUCUUUAACUGGUCUGAGAGGAUGAUCAGUCACACUGGAACUGAGACACGGUCCAGACUCCUACGGGAGGCAGCAGUAGGGAAUAUUGCACAAUGGAGGAAACUCGGAUGCAGCGACGCCGCGUGAGUGAUGAAGGCCUUCGGGUCGUAAAGCUCUGUCGCAGGGGAAUAACACAAUGAAUGUACCCUGUAAGAAAGGAUCGGCUAACUUCGUGCCAGCCGCCGCCGUAAGAC